rnacentral:rRNA from 1 species
GACGAACCGUGCGAACGUUAUUCGGAAUCACUGGGCUUAAAGCGCGUGUAGGCGGGAAGGCACGUCGGUCGCUGAAAUCCCCCGGCUCAACCGGGGAAGUGGCGCCGAUACGACCUUCCUGGAGGGACGUAGGGGGACCUGGAACUUCCGGUGGAGCGGUGAAAUGCGUAGAUAUCAUUUGGAACGCCAAUGGUGAAAACAGGUAGCUGGGAGUGUGCUGACACUGAGACACGAAAGCCAGGGGAGCGAACGGG